rnacentral:rRNA from 1 species
AUAAGCAAUUAAGGGCACACGGUGGAUGCCUAGGCAUGCAGAGGCGAAGAAGGACGUGUAAAGCUGCGAUAAGCUGCGGGGAGUUGCAAAAGAACUGUGAUCCGCGGAUUUCCGAAUGGGGCAACCCACUCUAAUUUAUUAGGGUAUCCUUUCGAGGAGGCAUACCCGGGGAACUGAAACAUCUAAGUACCCGGAGGAAGAGAAAACAACAGUGAUUCCGCAAGUAGUGGCGAGCGAACGCGGAGCAGCCCAAACCGCAUCCUACGGGGUGCGGGGUAGUAGGACCUGCGUAAUUUUUGUAAUCUUAAAUCGAAGCUGUCUGGAAAGCAGCGCCACAGAAGGUGAAAGCCCUGUAGGUGUACCGAUUACAAAAAGGCGGGUAUCCUGAGUAGCGCGAGACCGGUGAAAUCUUGCGUGAACCAGCCGGCACCAUCCGGUAAGGCUAAAUACAUCUGCAUGACCGAUAGUGAACCAGUACCGUGAGGGAAAGGUGAAAAGAACGCCGAGAAGGCGAGUGAAAUAGUACCUGAAACCGUGUGCUUACAAGCGGUCGGAGCUGCAUUUAUGUAGUGACGGCGUGCCUUUUGUAUAAUGAGCCUACGAGUUGCUCCUGUUGUGCGAGGUUAAGCCCCUAAGGGGUGGAGCCGUAGCGAAAGCGAGUCUGAAUAGGGCGUGCAGUACAGCGGGGCAGACGCGAAACCAAGUGAUCUAUCCAUGGUCAGGGUGAAGCGGUGGUAAGACACCGUGGAGGCCCGAACCGGUUGACGUUGAAAAGUCUUCGGAUGAACUGUGGAUAGGGGUGAAAGGCCAAUCAAACUUGGAGAUAGCUCGUACUCCCCGAAAUAUAUUUAGGUAUAGCGUCUGGUUUUGUCUCACUGGAGGUAGAGCACUGAUUAGGCUAGGGCCCUUCACCGGGUACCAACCCUAGACAAACUCCGAAUACCAGUGAUGAGCCGCCAGGCAGUCAGUCGCAGGGUGAUAACGUCCUGUGGCGAGAGGGGAACAACCCAGACCACCAGCUAAGGUCCCUAAAUACCGACUAAGUUGAUCAAAGAAAGUUGAGUUGCUCAGACAACUAGGAGGUUGGCUUAGAAGCAGCCAUUCCUUUAAAGAGUGCGUAAUAGCUCACUAGUCAAGCGACUCGGCGUCGAUAAUAAUCGGGCAUAAGUCGGUUACCGAAGCUGUGGGAUUUAACGAUCGGUAGGGGAGCAUUCCAGUCAGCGCAGAAGCAGCGCCCGCGAGGGGCCGUGGAGCGGCUGGAAGCGAAAAUGUAGGCAUGAGUAACGAUAAGAAGGGUGAAAAACCUUUCCACCGUAAACCCAAGGGUUCCUGAUCAACGCUAAUCGGAUCAGGGUUAGUCGAGACCUAAGGUGUACCCGGUGAGGCCGGGGAAGCCGAUGGCAAAGCGGUUAAAUAUUCCGCUACCGAAGCCAACGUAUGGCUAAGGCGUGACGCAGAAGUGACACUCCCGCGUGCUGACGAAUGCACGUUAAAGGGCGUAGGCCGGGGGGCAGGCAAAUCCGCCUCCCGUUAAGGCUGAACCCCGACAGUACUCGGAUUCUCACGAUGAAGAGAUAGUGGAGGUAAUCAUGCUGCCAAGAAAAGCGUCGUAGUUUGUUGUCUUCGCUCGUACCCCAAACCGACACAGGUGGGUGAGGAGAGUAUCCUCAGGUGCUCGAGUAAUUCAUGGCUAAGGAACUAGGCAAAUUCGAUCCGUAACUUCGGGAGAAGGAUCCCCUGACUAUGUCAGGGCGCAGUGAAAAGGCCCAAGCGACUGUUUACCAAAAACACAUGUCUCUGCUAAGCCGUAAGGCGAUGUAUAGGGACUGACACCUGCCCGGUGCUGGAAGGUUAAAGAAGGGGGUUAGCUUCGGCGAAGCCCUUGACUGAAGCCCCAGUAAACGGCGGCCGUAACUAUAACGGUCCUAAGGUAGCGAAAUUCCUUGUCGGGUAAGUUCCGACCUGCACGAAUGGUGUAACGACUUGGGCACUGUCUCGGCCAUGAGCUCGGUGAAAUUGUGGUAUCGGUGAUGACGCCGAUUACCCGCAGCGGGACGAAAAGACCCCGUGAACCUUUACUACAACUUUACAUUGGCUUUAGCUGUCGCAUGUGUAGGAUAGGCGGGAGACUUUGAAGCGGCGUCGCCAGGCGUUGUGGAGUCACCCUUGAAAUACCGCCCUUGCCACAGGUGAAGUCUAACCCUUAAGGGGGAACAGUGUAUGGUGGGUAGUUUGACUGGGGCGGUCGCCUCCUAAAG